rnacentral:rRNA from 1 species
UUCCGGUUGAUCCCGCCGGACCCGACUGCUAUUUGGGUGAGAAUAAGCCAUGCGAGUUGAAUGGAAUACCUAAAUUUUCCAUAGCAAACUGCUCAGUAACACAUGAUCAACUUACCCUAUAGAGAAAAAUAACCUCGGGAAACUGAGGAUAAUGUUUCAUAGUUGAAAAGGCUUGGAAAAGUUUUUCAAUCAAAGGGAUAAAAAAAAUGGUUUUUAUCCGCUAUAGGAUAGGAUCGUGGUCGAUUAUGGUUGUUGGUGAGGUAAUGGCUCACCAAGCCGAUAAUCGAUAGGGGCCGUGAGAGCGGGAGCCCCGAGAUGGGUACUGAGACAACGACCCAGGCCUUACGAGGCGCAGCAGGCGCGAAACCUCCGCAAUACACGAAAGUGUGACGGGGUUACCCAAAGUGUUCAGUUUUGAACUGUGGUAGGUGAGUAAUGUCCCCUACUAGAAAGGAGAGGGCAAGGCUGGUGCCAGCCGCCGCGGUAAAACCAGCUCUUCAAGUGGUCGGGAUAAUUAUUGGGCUUAAAGUGUCCGUAGCCGGUUUAGUAAGUUCCUGGUAAAAUCGGGUAGCUUAACUAUCUGUAUGCUAGGAAUACUGCUAAACUAGAGGGCGGGAGAGGUCUGAGGUACUACAGGGGUAGGGGUGAAAUCUUAUAAUCCUUGUAGGACCACCAGUGGCGAAGGCGUCAGACUGGAAUGUGCCUGACGGUGAGGGACGAAAGCCAGGGGAGCGAACCGGAUUAGAUACCCGGGUAGUCCUGGCCGUAAACGAUGCAUACUAGGUGAUGGCAUGGCCAUGAGCCGUGUCAGUGCCGUAGGGAAACCGUUAAGUAUGCCGCCUGGGAAGUACGGUCGCAAGGCUAAAACUUAAAGGAAUUGGCGGGGGAGCACCACAAGGGGUGAAGCCUGCGGUUCAAUUGGAUUCAACGCCGGAAAUCACUAGUGCGGC